AGAGUUUGAUCCUGGCUCAGGAUGAACGCUGGCGGCGUGCUUAACACAUGCAAGUCGAACGGAAAGGCAGUGCUUGCACUGGUACUCGAGUGGCGAACGGGUGAGUAACACGUGGGUGAUCUGCCCUGCACUUCGGGAUAAGCCUGGGAAACUGGGCCUAAUACCGGAUAGGACCACAUUUUGGAUGGUGUGKUGGAAAGUUUUUCGGUGUGGGAUGAGCUCGCGGCCUAUCAGCUUGUUGGUGGGGUAAUGGCCUACCAAGGCGUCGACGGGUAGCCGGCCUGAGAGGGUGUACGGCCACAUUGGGACUGAGAUACGGCCCAGACUCCUACGGGAGGCAGCAGUGGGGAAUAUUGCACAAUGGGCGCAAGCCUGAUGCAGCGACGCCGCGUGGGGGAUGACGGCCUUCGGGUUGUAAACUCCUUUCGCUAGGGACGAAGCGUAUUUGUGACGGUACCUGGAGAAAAAGCACCGGCUAACUACGUGCCAGCAGCCGCGGUAAUACGUAGGGUGCGAGCGUUGUCCGGAAUUACUGGGCGUAAAGAGCUCGUAGGKGGUUUGUCGCGUCUUUGUGUUAAGCCCCCACCUUAACUGCGGGACUGCAGGCGACACGGGCAUAACUUGAGUGCUGUAGGGGAGACUGUAAUUCCUGGUGUAUACGUGCAAUGCGCAGAUAUCAGGAGGAACACCGAUGGCGAAGGCCAGUCUCUGGCAGUAACUGACGCUGAGG
rnacentral:rRNA from 1 species